CCCUUAGAUGUCCUGGGCCGCACGCGCGCUACACUGAGUGUCUGAGAUACGAGUCUGCCUGGUCCGGCAAGGUCUAGGUAAUCGCUAAAGACACAUCAUGCUUGGGAUAGAUUAUUGCAAAUAUUAAUCUUGAACGAGGAAUUCCUAGUAAGCGCAAGUCAACAGCUUGCGUUGAUUACGUCCCUGCCCUUUGUACACACCGCCCGUCGCUACUACUGAUUGGAUGUUUAAGCGAGGUUCUCGAACUGCUAGCGACUUAGCUUCGGUGAGGUCGCAGUGUGGGAAGUGAACCUAGCUUUGGUGUCUAGAGGAAGUAAAAGUCGUAACA
rnacentral:rRNA from 1 species